UGAGGCGGAGCUAAUCCCUUAAAGCCAUUCUCAGUUCGGAUUGUAGGCUGAAACUCGCCUACAUGAAGCUGGAGUUACUAGCAAUCGCAGAUCAGAAUGCUGCGGUGAAUGCGUUCCCGGGUCUUGUACACACCGCCCGUCACACCACGGAAGUUGGGGGCGCCCGAAGCCACUUAGCUAACCCUUUUGGGAAGCGAGUGUCGAAGGUGAAAUCAAUAACUGGGGUGAAGUCGUAACAAGGUAAC
rnacentral:rRNA from 1 species